rnacentral:tRNA from 1 species
GGGAUAUAGCUCAGUGGUAGAGUACAUGCUUAGUAUGCAUGAGGCCCUGAGUUUGAUCCCCAGAUCCCA